UACGGAGGGUGCGAGCGUUAAUCGGAAUUACUGGGCGUAAAGGGUGCGUAGGUGGUUUGAUAAGUUAUCUGUGAAAGCCCUGGGCUCAACCUGGGAAGGCCAGAUAAGACUGUUAGACUGGAGUAUGGGAGAGGGUAGUGGAAUUUCCGGUGUAGCGGUGAAAUGCGUAGAGAUCGGAAGGAACACCAGUGGCGAAGGCGGCUACCUGGCCUGAUACUGACACUGAAGCACGAAAGCGUGGGGAGCAAACAGG
rnacentral:rRNA from 1 species